AUUGAACGCUGGCGGCAGGCCUAACACAUGCAAGUCGAGCGAGCGGCGGACGGGUGAGUAAUGUAUGGGGACUGCCCGAUAGAGGGGGAUAACUACUGGAAACGGUGGCUAAUACCGCAUACUAUCGGAUAACCCAUAUGGGAUUAGCUAGUAGGUGGGGUAAAGGCUCACCUAGGCGACGAUCUCUAGCUGGUCUGAGAGGAUGAUCAGCCACACUGGGACUGAGACACGGCCCAGACUCCUACGGAGGCAGCAGUGGUGAAUAGUGCACAAUGGGCGCAAGCCUGAUGCAGCCAUGCCGCGUGUAUGAAGAAGGCCUUCGGGUUGUAAAGUACUUUCAGUCGGGAGGCGGUACCGACAGAAGAAGCACCGGCUAACUCCGUGCCAGCAGCCGCGGUAAUAC
rnacentral:rRNA from 1 species